rnacentral:rRNA from 1 species
GAUGAACGCUGGCGGCGUGCCUAAUACAUGCAAGUCGAGCGAACAGACGAGGAGCUUGCUCCUCUGACGUUAGCGGCGGACGGGUGAGUAACACGUGGAUAACCUACCUAUAAGACUGGGAUAACUUCGGGAAACCGGAGCUAAUACCGGAUAAUAUAUUGAACCGCAUGGUUCAAUAGUGAAAGACGGUUUUGCUGUCACUUAUAGAUGGAUCCGCGCCGCAUUAGCUAGUUGGUAAGGUAACGGCUUACCAAGGCAACGAUGCGUAGCCGACCUGAGAGGGUGAUCGGCCACACUGGAACUGAGACACGGUCCAGACUCCCACGGGAGGCAGCAGUAGGGAAUCUUCCGCAAUGGGCGAAAGCCUGACGGAGCAACGCCGCGUGAGUGAUGAAGGUCUUCGGAUCGUAAAACUCUGUUAUUAGGGAAGAACAAAUGUGUAAGUAACUAUGCACGUCUUGACGGUACCUAAUCAGAAAGCCACGGCUAACUACG